rnacentral:rRNA from 1 species
GUUCGUUUUUAUGAGCGUUCGGUGGAUGCCUUGGCAUCGGGGGCCGAUGAAGGACGCGGUGGCCUGCGAUAUUCCUCGGGGAGCCGGCUUGCGGGCUGUGAUCCGAGGGUUUCCGAAUGGGGGGACCCGGCGCCCGUUGUGGGGCGUCACCCGCGUCUGAAUGUCAUAGGGCGCGGGGGGUGACGCGGGGAAGUGAAACAUCUCAGUACCCGCAGGAGUGGAUAUUCCGUGAGUAGUGGCGAGCGGAAGCGGAUGAUGGUUAAACCGUGCGCGUGCGAUCACCCGGCGGGGGUUGCGCGCGCGGUGUUGUUGGGGCGCGUUCUUCCCGUCGCCGCCGCGGCGGGGCGCAGUGCAUUGAACCGGUCGGGUAGCCGAAUCCCCUGGGAUGGGGGGCCGCAGCGGGUGACAGCCCCGUAGGCGGAACCCGGCGGGCUGCGCGGGCGCGGCCCCCAGUAGCACGGGGCCCGUGGAAUCCUGUGUGAAUCUGCCGAGACCACUCGGCCGCCUGAAUACCUCCCGAUGACCGAUAGCGGACGAGUACCGUGAGGGAAUGGUGAAAAGUACCCCGGGAGGGGAGUGAAACAGUACCUGAAACCGGGCGCUCACGAGCCGUCAGAGCCUCCUUGUGCGCAUCCUCGGGCCGUGUGUCCGGGGGGCGGGGGGUGAUGGCGUGCCUAUUGAAGAAUGAGCCUGCGAGUCGCCGCCGCGUCGCGAGGUUAACCCGUGUGGGGGAGCCGUAGCGACAGCGAGUCCGAAUGGGGCGCCCAGUGGCGCGGCGCGGACCCGAAGCGGGGUGAUCUACCCAUGGCCAGGUUGAAGCACGUGUAAGAGCGUGUGGAGGACCGCACCCGCCUCAGUUGAAAAUGGGGGGGAUGAGCUGUGGGUAGGGGUGAAAGGCCAAUCAAACCCCGUGAUAGCUGGUUCUCCCCGAAAUGCAUUUGGGUGCAGCGUCCCGUGCUCCCCGGCGGAGGUAGAGCUACCGGUUGGCUGAUGGGCCCCACAGGGUUACUGGCGUCAGCCGAACUCCGAAUGCCGUCGGGCGGUGAGCGGGGCAGUGAGACCGCGGGGGAUAAGCUUCGCGGUCGAGAGGGGAACAGCCCGGAUCGCCGGCUAAGGCCCCCAAGCGCGCGCUAAGUGGGAAAGGAUGUGCGGUCGCGGUGACAACCAGGAGGUUGGCUCAGAAGCAGCCAUCCUUGAAAGAGUGCGUAAUAGCUCACUGGUCAAGUGGUCGUGCGCCGACAAUUGAGCGGGGCUCAAGCGCGCCGCCGAAGCCGCGGAUCCGCCGCGAUGGGUUCUGCCGCCCCCUGUGGGGGGGUGGUGGGGCGCGGCGGGUGGUAGGGGAGCGUCCCGCGCGGGGUGAAGCCGUCGGGUGACCGGGGGUGGACGGCGCGGGAGUGAGAAUGCAGGCAUGAGUAGCGAUACUGGGGUGGGAGUCCCCAGCGCCGUAUGACCAAGGGUUCCAGGGCCAGGCUGGUCCGCCCUGGGUGAGUCGGGACCUAAGGCGAGGCCGACGGGCGUAGUCGAUGGAUGACGGGUUGAUAUUCCCGUACCGGACCGGAUACCGACCGUGCCGACGCGCGGGUGCUGACCCACGCCCCGCGCCGCCCGUGUACGCCCCCGCGUCCCGGUCUUCGGGCCGGGCGGGGGCGGGGCGGCGGGGGUCUGGGGACCCUCCGCGCAGGUAGGCAAGCGUAUUAACAGGGGUGACGCGCAGUGGUGGCCCCGCGGGUCUGAUGGCUCGGCCCGUUCAAGCGCGCGGCCCGCCGCCCAGGCAAAUCCGGGCGGCUGCCUUGAAUGGCGGGGGUGAGGCGCGAUGGUGACCCGGCCCGGUGGGGCCGGGGAAGUAGGGUGAUCCUGUGGCGCCGAGAAAAGCCUCGACGCGAGGGGCCGGUCCGCCCGUACCCCAAACCGACACAGGUGGUCGGGCAGAGCAUGCCCAGGCGCACGGGCGAACCGUGGUGAAGGAACUCGGCAAAACGCCCCCGUAACUUCGGGAGAAGGGGGGCCCGAACCCUGAAACGGCUGGCCCGUUGGGGGUGAGGGUCGCAGAGGCCAGGGGGGAGCGACUGUUUACUAAAAACACAGGUCCGUGCGAAGCCGCAAGGCGAUGUAUACGGACUGACGCCUGCCCGGUGCUGGAAGGUCAAGAGGACCCGUCAGCCCCCCUUGCGGGGGUGAAGCGGUGAAUUCAAGCCCCAGUGAACGGCGGUGGUAACUAUAACCAUCCUAAGGUAGCGAAAUUCCUUGUCGGGUAAG